ensembl:lncRNA
CUUAUGUUUUGCGUUGUUAAUAAUGCCAUGGCGUUAUGUAAGUGGUACAGUAAGGCAAGUAGUUCUUUUAUCAGUUUUAUUUGAAAUGGGAAUGCUUUGUUGUUGUAUAGUUAGUAUUUGUGGUUAAAUGAUAGUGUUGACAAUAUUCUAGUGUAAAAAUGUGUUUGUUUUUACGGUCACUGAAAUCAAACGUUAGUUUACAGAUACAGUCAUGGACGCAGCGUUUCUUCUACCCAGAAUGCUGCAGUGAGAGGAAGUUGUCUCUGCUUACGCUGAAGCUCAGGGCAGUCCACUGAUUCGAUCAGUAUAACAGCGCAGGCAGAGGACGAGGAGCGCAGACGGGAGAGAACAGACGGCGAGGACGGGUGAAGAUGGCGAUGCGUCGCGCUCCGAGUGAGAAGAGCUCAUUAAAACGAAGAAGAUUAAGGAAGAGAAUGGCGUCGACCCGUUCAGACGAAAGAGCAGUUCUCGACGGUGGGAACAUGGAAUCAGAACAACUAGAUGAAAGAUGAUGGCGUUUCGUUCAGUCACAUAUCAUGUAAAUGUUCCUGAUCUGCCAAACGUCAAAGAAAGAUGAGGAAAAGGAUUUUCGCUGUGAUGUUUGCCUGAAGAGGAAGCUUCAGCAAAGUUUCAAGGAAGGGAAGACUACUCUAACCAAUUCUGGACAGUCAAGUGGAGACUACUGCUUAAUGAGGAAGAUGGCGGCUCAUGUUUUGCUUUUGGAUUUGGAAAGACAUUUUAUUUGUUUCUGAUUUGCUAUGAUAUUUUAAUUCAUUCGCUAAUGUGCUCAACAAUUGUAUGUAUUUUCUCAUAUUUUACUGCAUUGUUGUUUUGAUGAAAUGCCUGUAUUUAAAAUUUAAAAAAUGCUUACUUGCCUUUUUUAAAAGAAAAAUAAAAAAAAUUGUGAUUGAACAAUAUCGAGUUGCUCUUAUUGGAUGGAGAAUAAGAAUGACGUUUCGCAAAUUAU